CACUCUUGUGGCCCAGUCCGGAGUGCAGUGGCACCAUCUCAGCUCAUUGCAACCUCCGCCUCCCCGGUUCAAGCGAUUCUCCUGCCUCAGCCUCCCGAGUAGCUGGGAUUACAGGUACCCGCCACCAUGCCCAGAAGGAGAAUCCAGUCAUGGAAUAUUAUGGUGGCAAUUGCUUCCAACUGGAACCAGUUAUCAAAAUGUGGCAGGAAAAUCUGGCCUGGUGAAGAAAGAGAAGGUGGCGAAGCUGACUCAGUUCAAGUUCAAGAUCUGCUAUUAAUGUGCAUGUCACUGAACACAAAUCAUUACAUUUCCCUGAGCUUCAGUUUUGUUUUUCAAAUUGGAAUAAUUGGAUAAUUAGAUCUCUAAAGCAUACAUCAUCAGUAGAAAAUGAGCAACUUCUCAUUUGGCCUAACACUUUGAGUGGGAAAAUAAACUCAUUUAUGUGUAGUGAUAUUCUACUACUCCCUUAUAGAGUAAACAGUUACGUAAAUGCAAGUCAUUUUGAUUUUUCACAGAAUAGGAUCCCUUUAAAAUAGAUCUAUAUCAAGUCUCAUCCACAAUUAUUUUCUCACAGCUCUGUAUUAUUUGACUGACACACUUUGAAAACAUAGUUUCCAGAGAUCUCACAUAUUUAUUUUAUAUUUAUCUCUUUAACAAGCUAGAAUUUAUAUUGAUAUAUGAGAUAAGGCUAUUAGCAAAUUUAAUUUAAUUUUUCUACAGUUUUCAACCAGUUGUUCCCAUGCUAAAUAGUUCAUCUUUCUCCCAUUGAUUUAUUGUAUCAACUU
rnacentral:antisense_RNA from 1 species